rnacentral:rRNA from 1 species
AGUCAACCUAACCUAUGGACGGGAAUAAACUCGGGAAACUGAGUAUAAUGCCCGAUAGAACAUUAUACCUGGAAUGGUUUAUGUUCCAAAUGAUUUAUCGCCGUAGGAUGGGACUGCGGCCUAUCAGUUUGUUGGUGAGGUAAUGGCCCACCAAGACUAUUACAGGUACGGGCUCUGAGAGGAGUAGCCCGGAGAUGGGUACUGAGACACGGACCCAGGCCCUAUGGGGCGCAGCAGGCGAGAAAACUUUGCAAUGUGCGAAAGCACGACAAGGUUAAUCCGAGUGGUUUCUGCUAAAGGAACCUUUUGUCGGUCCUAGAAACACCGAUGAAUAAGGGGUGGGCAAGUUCUGGUGUCAGCCGCCGCGGUAAAACCAGCACCUCAAGUGGUCAGGAUGAUUAUUGGGCCUAAAGCAUCCGUAGCCGGCUCUGUAAGUUUUCGGUUAAAUCUGUACGCUUAACGUACAGGCUGCCGGGAAUACUGCAGAGCUAGGGAGUGGGAGAGGUAGACGGUACUCGGUAGGAAGGGGUAAAAUCCUUUGAUCUAUUGAUGACCACCUGUGGCGAAGGCGGUCUACCAGAACACGUCCGACGGUGAGGGAUGAAAGCUGGGGGAGCAAACCGGAUUAGAUACCCGGGUAGUCCCAGCUGUAAACUAUGCAAACUCAGUGAUGCAUUGGCUUGUGGCCAAUGCAGUGCU